AGAGUUUGAUCCUGGCUCAGGAUGAACGCUGGCGGCGUGCUUAACACAUGCAAGUCGAACGCACCUUCGGGUGAGUGGCGGACGGGUGAGUAACGCGUGAGAAUCUGCCCUCAGGAGGGGGAUAACGGCUGGAAACGGCCGCUAAUACCCCAUAUGCCGCGAGGUGAAACGAGUUUUCGCCUGAGGAUGAGCUCGCGUCUGAUUAGCUAGUUGGUGGGGUAAGAGCCUACCAAGGCAUCGAUCAGUAGCUGGUCUGAGAGGAUGAUCAGCCACACUGGGACUGAGACACGGCCCAGACUCCUACGGGAGGCAGCAGUGGGGAAUUUUCCGCAAUGGGCGAAAGCCUGACGGAGCAACGCCGCGUGAGGGAUGAAGGCCUCUGGGCUGUAAACCUCUUUUCUCAAGGAAGAAGAUCUGACGGUACUUGAGGAAUAAGCCACGGCUAAUUCCGUGCCAGCAGCCGCGGUAAUACGGGAGUGGCAAGCGUUAUCCGGAAUUAUUGGGCGUAAAGCGUCCGCAGGCGGUCUUGAAAGUCUGUUGUUAAAGCGUGGAGCUUAACUCCAUUUCAGCAAUGGAAACUAGAAGACUAGAGUGUGGUAGGGGCAGAGGGAAUUCCCGGUGUAGCGGUGAAAUGCGUAGAUAUCGGGAAGAACACCAGUGGCGAAGGCGCUCUGCUGGGCCAUAACUGACGCUCAUGGACGAAAGCCAGGGGAGCGAAAGGGAAUAGAUACCCCUGUAGUCCUGGCCGUAAACGAUGAACACUAGGUGUCGGGGGAAUCGACCCCCUCGGUGUCGUAGCCAACGCGUUAAGUGUUCCGCCUGGGGAGUACGCACGCAAGUGUGAAACUCAAAGGAAUUGACGGGGGCCCGCACAAGCGGUGGAGUAUGUGGUUUAAUUCGAUGCAACGCGAAGAACCUUACCAGGGUUUGACAUCCUGCGAAUCCCUUGGAAACGAGGGAGUGCCUUCGGGAGCGCAGAGACAGGUGGUGCAUGGCUGUCGUCAGCUCGUGUCGUGAGAUGUUGGGUUAAGUCCCGCAACGAGCGCAACCCACGUCUUUAGUUGCCAGCAUUCAGUUGGGCACUCUAGAGAGACCGCCGGUGAUAAACCGGAGGAAGGUGUGGAUGACGUCAAGUCAUCAUGCCCCUUACAUCCUGGGCUACACACGUACUACAAUGCUACGGACAAAGGGCAGCAAACUCGCGAGAGCUAGCAAAUCCCAUAAACCGUGGCUCAGUUCAGAUCGUAGGCUGCAACUCGCCUACGUGAAGGAGGAAUCGCUAGUAAUCGCAGGUCAGCAUACUGCGGUGAAUACGUUCCCGGGCCUUGUACACACCGCCCGUCACACCAUGGAAGUUGGCCACGCCCGAAGUCGUUACUCCAACCCUUGUGGAGGAGGACGCCGAAGGUGGGGCUGAUGACUGGGGUGAA
rnacentral:rRNA from 1 species